AAUUUCCAGCCCUACAGCAGUGCAAAUCCUGAACUUCACUAUGUCAAUAAUAUUGAUAAAGCACUCCUCGUUAUCCAUGGCCAAAUGAAAACUGGAGUAGAUCAGUUCUUUAAAAAAACUAAAAAGACGUUUGGAUUUUCGCGCCAUUGGAUAAACGCUUGCGAUCUUCGUUUAUUUUCGUUGACGGAGGCUUCUGUUGCACACAGGAGGUAUUUUAUAAUAAUACGAUGGUGUCUCAAGUUGCUCGGUUAGACAGGAUGUUUCAGUCCACUAAGACCUUAUACAUCUCCUAUCCAAUGUUCUGCCGCAUGCGUUCUGGAGGUUAAAUAGGUCUGAAACGUCCGGAAAGUAUGUUGGCAUAAUAUUGCUCGAUUAUUUUGUAAUGCAAGGCCAAGCUCUGUAUGAGAAUUGCGACUCCACCGAAAUUUCUUGAAAGAUGGCACGCUUACAGAUGUUAUCGAACCGCUUCAAUUAGCCGUUUGAAUCUCGACAGAACAAAGCGGUUUUAAUGAUGUCUACAUACGAUGUAUAGAAAGAUCAGACGCUUAUGAGAUGUGAUACCUUUCAGCCGGCCGGUCAUUUGGUAAUCUCCAGCAGGCGAAUCCCGUCAUUGUUGGAAAUUUGGCAAUGAGCUCCAAAUGAAUACGGAUGAUCUGAUCCGCCGUGUGGGUUGGUCUUUGUGAAACGGCUAAACCGAGCUCAGAGAUCUGUACUACUUUCCCGUGACCGCUCGUGUGCCAUAUCGGUGACAGCGAAAGUUAGUCUGACCAUAAACGUGUAAUGAAGCUGUUAAGAGAAGCUCGGGACUUCGUUCACAGAUUGCUGAAAAUACUGUAACGUAACUCGUCACUCAUACCGUACCCAUCGGUGACCACACUCCACUGUACAAGCACUGAGUGAACCAAUGAUUUAGCGAAGUCUCAGCGGUUAAUACACGGGAUAUUGGGUAAACUUCCAUACAGCGAUUACUUGGAAGAUCGAUACUGUAAUAAACUGCAUUCCCUCACGGUGCUCACUAUCAGAAGAGAGGUUUGCUAUGAAGCAUCUUCAGGUUUUACUAGACUUUUAACGCAAACUUCAUCAAUCUUCCUCCUAUAUUUGUACAUUAAUAACCACAGUAUUAGCGUUAUUACCCCCGUCUCAUUCAAGUCAUUUACGGUCAUUAUAUAUUUUUUACGGUGUUUAAUGAAACUAGUGUUACUGGGUCUUUUACAGUUAUUUGGUAGUUAUCAUAUGUAAAUCAGGAUUCAGAUAUCACAAAUUAUCAGUAUUAAUUGUUCUCAUAUAACGUAACCUCUACCUGGAUGUCAUUGGGCAUCUAAAUGAUUCUUGGAAGUUCUGAGGGAGCGGUUGAUUAGGCUUGCAAAAUCUUUUUUAUGAUCUGUCUAUCUAUAAUACUUACAACGAAAAGUUCAGAGAUUGUGCACAUUGUGUUAAUGCCGUCGGCCACGAUAUUUAUAUGGGUAAAGCAAAACUAUUUGUUAUAAAUCCUUAAAGAAUAAAUCUCGA